CACCUGAUGUGAUCGAGACCCUGUUGCUGGAAUGUGCAGGGUUCCUGAGCGACUUUCCUUUUUAACUCUCCCGAACGCUCGCCGCACACUGAGACGGCGUGACGAUGUAAACUUGCUCCAUAUGUGCCCAGGACAACUUGAGCGGCACAGUGGCGCAGCGGUAGAGUUGCAGCGCCAGAGACCCGGGUUCGAUCCUGACUACGGGGUGCUGCCUGUACGGAGUUUGCACGUUCUCCCAGUGACCUGUGUGGGUUUUCUCCGGGUGCUCCGGUUUCCUCCCACAUUCCAAAGACGUACAGGCUUGUGUUUCAAUGCGUUUUAACGCAUUUUUCGGAGCAGAGCUAAAAGGAGCACUUCUAACUGCUCCAUGGCGCCACCGGAAGUCUCCACAAAACAAUAUUUAUUAAAUGUCAUAAACAAUAUCUAUAAAUAAAUGAAAUCGUAUGUGUCUGAAAAGGAGCAGGAAGAAGCCAAAGCUUAUUAAUUCCCACCCUUUAUUCAACUGCCUAUAAUGAUCUGAUACAAAUUUAGCAACAAUAUGUACACCAUAUGUACACCAGCAGCGAUAUGUACACCAAAUUAUUUACAUUUAUACACUAAUCAAAUAUUUACAAUGCCAUACAAAAAAAGAGAGAAAAAAGAAAAAUGGCAAAACCCUCCUGUAUUAUACAGUACAUCUUCGUCAUAUAGACAACCCAUCACCCUAUAAUCACCCUUCCCAAUACAAUCAGUAUAAUAAAUAUCCCACUCACAAUCACCUAUCCUCAUCCCAAUAUCCUUUAAAAAAAGUGUUUUUGUACAUCUUUUUAAACUGAAUUAUGUUUGUGCUAAGUUUUAUCUCCUGUUCCAGACCGUUCCUCAAAUUCUCCCCACAGAUUGCUAUGCACAUACUUUUAAGAGUUGUUCUGACAUUGAGUUUUUUUAAAUUAAGUUCCCCUCUCAAAUUAUACCCACCCUGUCUUUCCAUAAACAGUUUUUGUAUAUUUCCUGGAAGUAAAUUAUUUCUUGCUUUAUACAUGAUUAGCGCAGUCUUAAAUUUAACCAGAUCGGUGAACUUCAGUGUAUGUGAUUUUAAGUAUAAUAAAUUGGUAUGUUAUUGAUAAUUCUUAUUGCUCUUUUUUGUAAUGUGCAUAACGGCUGUAGGUUGGUUUUGUAGGUGUUACCCCACAUCUCCGCACAGUAACUCAGAUAUGGCAAUAUGAGUGUAUUAUACAGAGCAUGUAACGAUUUGUGGUCCAGAAUGUGUCUUGAUUUUCCCAAUAUCGCUAUAAACUUUGCCAGUUUUGCUUUGACGUGGUUUAUAUGUGGUUUCCAGCAGAUUUUGUGGUCCAAGGUCACACCAAGAAAUUUAUUUUCACAUACUCUUUCUAUACUUAUGUUAUCCAUUUUCAAUUGUACGCGUUUUUAGGGGCUAAGUUUCUUGCACAGAAGCUUAGUUUUUAGUUUAGCUUUGGACCAGCAUGGGGAAGGUUUACCUUUUGACCAUGUGGAGUGUAACGGAGACACGAGGAGUUUUCUAACCUUGAAGGCGAUAUGCUGGAGUUCAAUGAAGAUUAUAGUGUACGAGUCGGAAGAAGUUUGGAUGUACCUUAUUGUUUUUCAUCAACAAUGAAGAGUAUAUUAAUCAAAAGACUGUGUUAUGAAGAUUGAUCUAUGAAGAAGCUCUGAAGGUUCCCGACGGAGAGCUCGCAUGCGUAUAACGACAUUCCCCUUAACCAUGUAGUCCACUUAGCGGCUAGAGGGAGUAAUCUCUUGAACGGUAUACAAAUCCAUCGCUGCACAGAAGCUGGGUCUUUUUUUCCGCUGAAGCAUAGGGAGGCUAAGAGGUGACAUUAUAGAGGUUUAUAAAAUCAUGAGCGGCACAGAUAAGGUGAAUAGGCACAUUCUUUAUCCUGGGGAAGGGAAAUGAAAAACUUCCAAAAAUGAUGUAAACAUAGAAACAUAGAACAUAGGUGCAGGAGUAGGCCAUUCGGCCCUUCGAGCCUGCACCGCCAUUCAAUAUGAUCACGGCUGAUCAUCCAACUCAGUAUCCCGUACCUGCCUUCUCUCCAUACCCCCUGAUCCCCUUAGCCACAAGGGCCACAUCUAACUCCCUCUUAAAUAUAGCCAAUGAACUGGCCUCAACUACCCUCUGUGGCAGAGAGUUCCAGAGAUUCACCACUCUCUGUGUGAAAAAAGUUCUUCUCAUCUCGGUUUUAAAGGAUUUCCCCCUUAUCCUUAAGCUGUGACCCCUUGUCCUGGACUUCCCUAACAUCGGGAACAAUCUUCCUGCAUCUAGCCUGUCCAACCUCUUAAGAAUUUUGUAAGUUUCUAUAAGAUCCCCUCUCAAUCUCCUAAAUUCUAGAGAGUAUAAACCAAGUUUAUCCAGUCUUUCUUCAUAAGACAAUCCUGACAUCCCAGGAAUCAGUCUGGUGAACCAUCUCUGCACUCCCUCUAUGGCAAUAAUGUCCUUCCUCAGAUUUGGAGACCAAAACUGUACGCAAUACUCCAGGUGUGGUCUCACCAAGACCCUGUACAACUGCAGUAGAACCUCCCUGCUCCUAUACUCAAAUCCUUUCGCAAUGAAAGCUAACAUACCAAAUUUAAAACAUACCAGAUUUAAAAAAAUCAUUCCAAAAAUAAUGUAGGGCAGCAAUGAAGAUUAGAUGCGGCCUUGCAGUGGAUUCUCCUCCACUCCAGUGUGUUCUGGGCCAGCUUCUGGACACUACCCCAGGUCAGGUCCAUUGUUUUUAUUUCCUCCUCUACAGUUCGACGCCAGGUGGUUUUGGGUCUCCCUCUUUUCCUUUUCCCUUCCGGUAUUCUUGCGAUGCUAUCAGGUUCUCUUCACAGUAUAUGGCCAAUCCAGUUUCAGCGCCUUCUCGUGAUGAUGGUGCCCAUGGUCUCUUGUUGGUAUUGGGCAAGGAGAUCUUGGUUGGAUAUGGCGCUUGGCCAAAAUAUUCUACUUCCACCUUCCUGCCAGUGGCUUCCUUUCGGCUUUCACCAUUGACAUUCAUCCUAGUAUCUGUCGAUAGCCCUGGAGGUCCAUCACGCCCAGCAGUGUUGAUUCCUUCAGUUGCUGUUUCCGUAACAUAUUUGUUUUACAAGACAGGGUUGUUCGCCGUGUAGCUCAACCUCCAACCUGGAGGACCAGUGGAUCGCUCUUCGUCUCGCCUCUACCCUUCGACCUGUCCAGCACGGGAGACCCUAACAGGAGGCCAAUCUCCCACUGGCAUAGCUCUAGGGGUCACUGAGCCACACACACGCUCCCCGACCACGACAAGGUUGCAAUCCAACGGGGAGAAAUAACAAACAUAGUACAGUAAUAAUAUAGACUUUUCCAGUUCAGAGCUCUGAGCUUAUUUGUUAUCGUGUUUAAUAGCCCGAUGGCUGUAAGGAAGAAGCUGUUCCUGUACCUGGACGCUACAGUUUUCAGGCUCCUGUACCUUCUUCCUGAUGGCAGUGGUGAGAUGAGUGUGUGGCCAGGAUGGUGUGGGUCUUUGAUGAUGUUGGCUGCCUUUUGGAGGCAGCGACUACGAUCAAUCCCUUUGACGGAGGGGAAGUCAGAGCCAGUGAUGGUCACAUCUUUUUGUAGUCAUCCAAAGGCGUGUUAAACACCACAGGUGUAUCUGCCUCCACCACCAUCCCUGGCAAUGCUUUCCAGUUACCUCCCUAGACAACUUCAUUGAGCAUGUUACAUGACAUGGAACACAGUAGAAACUUCGGCCCACACGCUGUACAAAGAAAAUGCAGUUAAGAAACACUUGGUCAGCAGAAUCUCUAUCUCAAGGUUCCACCUUAUUCCGGGAUCAUUGGCAUGGUAACACAAGAAGCAACACA